rnacentral:rRNA from 1 species
CUAACAAGGUUUCCGUAGGUGAACCUGCGGAAGGAUCAUUAUCGCACAAGAAAGGCUCUGGAUUGUCGCUGGCUAGGUGAUUCUAGCAUCGUGCACGUCUACUCCUUUCUAUCUUCAUAACACACCUGUGCACCAAUUGUAGAUCAACCGAAAAGUACUAGUGAAUUAGUAUCUUAUUAGGCACCGAUCUAUGUUUAACCUCACACCAAACAAUGUAUGUCUUUAGAAUGUAUUAUAAAUAUUACAACUUUCAGCAAUGGAUCUCUUGGCUCUUGCAUCGAUGAAGAACGCAGCGAAUUGCGAUAAGUAAUGUGAAUUGCAGAUUUUCAGUGAAUCAUCGAAUCUUUGAACGCACCUUGCGCUCCUUGGUAUUCCGAGGAGCAUGCCUGUUUGAGUGUCAUUUAAUUAUCAACCGAAAAGUACUAGUGAAUGCUAGUAACUUAUUAGGUGCCGAAAAGUACUAGCGAUAGUAGCUUAUUAGGCACUGAAAAGUACUAGUAGUACUUAUUAGGCUUGGACUUGGGAUUUGCUGGCUUUCGGUAGUCAGCUAUCCUUAAAUGCAUUAGCGAGUGAAGUCUUGACGUGCACGGCCUCUGACGUGAUAAUGAUCGUCGGUGGGCUGGAAGCGUCAUUAGGAAACUUGCUUCUAAUUUGACAUGCGUCACUAGUAUAUUUUGACCUCAAAUCAGGUAGGACUACCCGCUGAACUUAAGCAUAUCAAUAAGCGGAGGAAAAGAAACUAACAAGGAUUCCCCUAGUAACUGCGAGUGAAGCGGGAAAAGCUCAAAUUUUGAAUCUGGCGGUCCGUUUGUCGGCCGUCCGAAUUGUAAUCUAGAGAAGCGUCUUCCGCGCUGGACCGUGUA